rnacentral:rRNA from 1 species
ACAGCAGCCGCCGCGGUAAUACAGAGGGUGCGAGCGUUAAUCGGAUUUACUGGGCGUAAAGCGUGCGUAGGCGGCUUCUUAAGUCGGAUGUGAAAUCCCUGAGCUUAACUUAGGAAUUGCAUUCGAUACUGGGAAGCUAGAGUAUGGGAGAGGAUGGUAGAAUUCCAGGUGUAGCGGUGAAAUGCGUAGAGAUCUGGAGGAAUACCUAUGGCGAAGGCAGCCAUCUGGCCUAAUACUGACGCUGAGGUACGAAAGCAUGGGGAGCAAACAGGAUUAGAUACCCCCGUAGUCCCUGUCUCUUAUAC